rnacentral:ncRNA from 1 species
CCUGGUAACAGAAGCUACCAUAGAGAAGCCGUCGAAGCAUACCGAAAGAGUUAUCUUUUCUGUUUCAUAACUGUAUUACCAUGGAAGUCUUUUGAAGAGAGAUAUGGUAAAUGAGUUAGAAGAGCAUGGCGUUUAUUGCUGUGUCGGGUAUGUGUUCCUCGGACCUUGAAAAUCUAUGGUAGGG